rnacentral:rRNA from 1 species
UACAGAGGUCCCAAGCGUUGUUCGGAUUCAUUGGGCGUAAAGGGUGCGUAGGCGGCGCGGUAAGUCGGGGGUGAAAUCUCGGGGCUUAACUCCGAAACUGCAUUCGAUACUGCCGUGCUUGAGGACUGGAGAGGAGACUGGAAUUUACGGUGUAGCGGUGAAAUGCGUAGAUAUCGUAAGGAAGACCAGUGGCGAAGGCGGGUCUCUGGACAGUUCCUGACGCUGAGGCACGAAGGCCAGGGGAGCAAACGGG